CAGGGAGACAACAAAAUGUUUAAUAUUAUUAUUUUGUCACCUUAGGUCGAUCGGUAUCUCACGUUUUUAAUUUAUUAAGAAUUUCACUUCCUAAGUUUUUCUAGGUCACACCCAUUAUUUUUCCUGGGCCAUUAGCUCAGGUGGUUAGAGCGCACCCCUGAUAAGGGUGAGGUCCCUGGUUCAAGUCCAGGAUGGCCCAUAUCUCUAUGUUGGGGGUAAAGCUCAGUUGGUAGAGCGCCUGCUUUGCAAGCAGGAUGUCAGCGGUUCGAGUCCGCUUACCUCCACUGAUCACCACCUCUUCCAUAAUCGGUAGAAAGGAAAUUUUUUGAGUUGUGAUCAAAUUCUGAAAGAAUCUAGCUUCCUAAUGAAAUCAUUAAGAUGCUGGACUCAUUGAAUUAAUUUCAUUGUUUUCAGAGAACCUUGACAACCGCAUAGAUUAUUUUUAAAGACAAUAAGCAUCUUUAAUGAUGCAGAUUUAUUAUUUGUGCAAAUGCAUUAAUAACAAUUCUAUUAAGCUGAUGCUUCAAUAUUUGAAGUUAUU
rnacentral:tRNA from 1 species